CUCUUUCAUUACAAUGCCCACUGGUGAGGUUCUUUUAACUCUUUUUCUACUAACUUUUCUUACAUAUCAUGUACACGGCGGAGAAAUUUUUGGAAGUUUAAAUAUUAGUAAUCCCAUAGAGGGUUGGCGUAAAGGUGCCGUAAUAUCUCUAAACGGAGGGGAGCAUCUUAGUUACCUAGAUUCAGAAGGAAGAUUUGCUUUUUAUCACGUCAACGCGGGGUUACAUACAAUUGAUAUACAUGUUUCUAACUAUAUAUUUGAGCCUCUUCUUGUAGAGGUUACUGUGCAUGGUUUUAAAGCUUUUAUUUAUCCUAAGUUAGCCAGCCGAAUGGUAGAAAUUUCUACUCCUUUAGUGAUCACUCCAACUCUUAAAGUGAAUUAUUUUAAAAAA